GCGGAUGUGGUGGAAUUGGCAGACACGCUGGCUUCAGGAGCCAGUGGCCGCAAGGUCGUGGAGGUUCAAAUCCUCUCAUCCGCA
rnacentral:tRNA from 1 species